GAGGGAGGAGGCAAGCGUUAUCCGGAAUUAUUGGGCGUAAAGGGUACGUAGGCGGCUGGUCAAGUCUGGGGUCAAAGGCCACAGCUCAACUGUGGGAAGGCCCUGGAAACUGACCGGCUAGAGUGAGGUAGGGGUUGCGGGAAUUCCCGGUGUAGCGGUGAAAUGCGUAGAGAUCGGGAAGAACACCUGAGGCGGAAGCGCGCAACUGGGCCUCGACUGACGCUGAGGUACGAAAGCUAGGGGAGCUAAUGGG
rnacentral:rRNA from 1 species